AAGAAAGAGAAGUUAGCUAAUUUGAUCCCAAAAGCCAAAAAUAUUAUAUAUUAUAAAUGAGAAUGCAUAACAAUUUGAGUCCAACACCACCUUAUGUAAAGUUUGAAUUAACAAGGCUUUCUAUAUUCUGAGCGCCCCACUAUUAAUAUAGCGUCAAGCUCUUUACGCUUGCAGAAGUAGGUUGGGCCUUAAUUGUCUGCAGAAGUGAUGCAGAGGACAUUUGUUCAUGGUUAGCCGCAUACAUGGGAAAUAUUCUAAAGACAUUGUUGUCGAAUUAGAUAUCCCAUUAGUGAAGAAAAGUUCAAGUGAACCUAUAUUCAAGCGACCACGCGCGUCUCCAAACACCAUCGCCAUUACCGAAAUUUAAGAAGGGACUCGGUUUACUAAGAGAAAUGUUUUGGCAACUCGAAGGAUAUGCAUCUUUAAAGGGACUUGACUAUCUUUAAAUUGUAUUUCUACUUUGUUACUAAUUCAUGCAACAUAGCACAGGGGUCUAAGGACAGAUUCUACACCAAUAAGUUCGAUUGAUACCAUGAGACUGUCAUAAGUUUGUGUGGCUGCUGAAGAUGCUCUUCGUGCAAUCAUCUCUGAUAAUUUAUGGAAAUCUUUAUCAUUUUUAGAUGAAUGUGAGGCAUAUUUUACAUAUGUA